GUCUUUUUAGGGCCGCACCCGCGGCAUAUGAAGGUUCCCAGGCUAGGGGUCUAAUCGUAGCGGUACCCGCCGGCGUACACCACAGUCACAGCCACAGCCACGCCAGAUCUGAGCCGCAUCUGCGAUCUAUAACCACAGAUCUCGGCAGUGCCAGAUUCCCAACCCACUGAGCGAGGCCAGGGGUCGAACCCGCAACCUCAUGGUUCCUAGUUGGAUUCGUUUCUGUUGCACCAUAAGAGGAAUUCCUCCUCCCAAAUCAAAUCCCUCUCCCAAACUGCCCCAUUUCAGUGAAAGGCAACAAUUAAUUAGUUAAGCAAAAAACCUGAGUUAACCCUUGAUUCCUUCUUCCUUCUUUCCCCAUACCCAAAUCUUCAGCAAGCCCAGUGGAUUCUAUAUCAAAAUGAAUCCCAAAUGGUCUACUCUCCAUAUCCACUGCCUUUACUUUACUCCAAACACCCAUCAUUUCUCUCCUGAACUACUAUAACUCGUUCUCUUGAUGAUACCUACACUUAAAAUCUGUUCUCCAAAAAGUAAACAGAGUAGUUUUUUAAAUGUAAAUAAUUUAUGUUACUCUCCUGCUCAAGUUCUCUGAAGGCCUUCCAUUGGACAUAGGAUAAAAUCCUAUGUAGAAUCAGAAACAUUUGAGAACAUUAAGAAAAGAAGCCUUACAGUUCAUAAGCUAAAAUCCCUGUCUGAACAUACUUUAGGAAAAGAAGACCCCGUCUAUCUCGUCAACUUCACCUCUUUCCAAUCUCCUACUGGUUUUUUUCUCCAAUCACAAUGCUCUUUCUGUUCCUUGAAAAUACUGAUCUUUCUCAUCACAAGCCUUUGUCCCAUGUCUCUUAUGUCUGGAAUGCUCCUUCUCUGUUCUUCAUGUAACUGGCUCUUUCUUUUACUUUGGAUUCACCUAAAACUUCACCUCCUAAAUAAGGCCUUCUUUGAUUAUCUACUUAUUUUCUUCAUACCAUUUACCACUGUGUUAAAUUAUCUUCUUCUUGUAUGUUUAUUUAUGAUAUUUCACACCUCCCUGAAGGAAUAGAAGCUCCUUCCAUAAGAUAAAGACAAUCUGUCUGUCUUCUUCACAGAUAUAAUGUUAGCGUCUAUAUCAGUAUCUGGAAUACAGUAUAUGUAUUAUAUUAUUUAAAUGACUAAACCAAAUGAAGAGGGUAUCCCUUGAUAGUACGGAUAAAUUCAAAACUUAUUAAAAAACUAUAUGGCCUAUAUUAAAAGAAUGAAAUCAGGUGUUUAAACCUUAAUUUCAAAGAGCAGAGCAUUUUUUUUAAAAAAUCACUGCAUGGACGAUGAUUGUUAUCCUUUUAUUUUAAAGCCAACAAUUUCUUGUCACCUAACUAGGUAGUGACAAAUGAUUCCAGAUAGCCACGUCUUUGAUUUCUUAUUCGACUCAUUCAGUGGCAAAGGGAGGAAUGAAUCGAAGCUUUCUCACUUUCUAGUGAUCUUUCUGCUACUUCAUCCUCCUACACAUAAAAACAUAUAUAACAUAUAUCUAAUGGUUAAGCUAUUUCCAACAUAUCCAGCUACUUGAAUAUAUUAUUAUACAAUCUUUUAUAUAAAUACAUAAAAUUUUAACUUAUUAAAAUCAUUUGUAAGAAUCACAACUAUUUGUAUCUUCCCACAAGUUAGGUGCUAUGUUAAGUGUUAUAAUAACUGAAAUAAGGAAACAGAGUUUUUGUUAUCUUGGAGCUCACAUCCUAAGAAAAGUUUUACUGAUUUGGAUACAAUGUCUGUGCUGUGUGUUAUUAGCUAGAUCUUAUUUUAGGCUGUAACAGUUUUUUUCUCUUAUGGACUCAGAACCAGAAAGUCACAAAUUGUAUUUGUUUUAAGUGAACUUACUACUAAGGAUUCCUGCUCCAAAUAAUUCUAGUUCUAAACAAAGCAGCACAAUCCUUUUACUCUUCAUAUGAAAGCAUACAAUAUUUUUCAGAGUUUAUAUUUUGACAUCUUAAGAACAAACUUUUGGAGUUCCAGUUGUGGCACUGCGGAAAUAAAUCCAACUAGUAACCAUGAGGUUGUGGGUUCAAUCCCCACCCUCGCUCAGUGGGUUAAGGAUCUGGCACUGCCAUGAACUGUGGCGUAGGUUGCAGAUGCAGCUAGAUCUGGCGUUGCUGUGGCUGUGGUGUAGGUCAGCGGCUACAGUUCCGAUUGGACCUCUAGCCUGGGAACCUCCAUAUGCCAAGGGGGCAGCCCUAAAAAAAAAAAAAAGAACUAACUUUUAUCAUAACUAGCAUUUCCACAUAGGUGACUCCAACAAUCAGUUCCUCAUCCUUGUUUUUCUCAAAACGAUCCACAGCAUUAAACAAGACUGAUUAACCUCUUCUCUACAACUGGCUUCCAGGAUACCCCUCUCCUUUGGUAUCUCAACGGCACUUGUCGGUAUCUUGUGUUGGUUCCUCCUCAUCCUCUCAACCUAUAAACAUUAGAAUGUCCUAGGACUCAGACCUCUUCUCUGUCUGUACUCACUUUCUAGUAGAAACUAGAUUAUUUCACCUAGUCUCAUAUUUUAAUGCUACCUAAAUGCUCUCGAUGUUCAAAUUCCAUCUCCAACUUGGACUUUUUCUUUAACUCCAGAGAUUUGUAUAUCCAGUUGCCUAUUUGGCAUCUCCACUUGGAUAUGUAAUAAGCACCUCAAAUUAAGUUGAUUAAAAUUGAACUCCUGAAUGUGUCCCAUCUCCUCAGUCUUCACCAUUUCAGUAAAUGGCAACUGCAUCCUUCCAAAUACUCAAGCCAAAACCUCUGGAGUCUUCCAUGACUUUUCUUUCACUCAAUCUGACAUUCAACCCAUCAGAAAAUCCCAUUACUCUAUCUUUCCAGAAUUCAACCAUUUUUUAUUCCCUCCACAUUAACAAGCCCCUAUUAUCCCUUGGUUGGGUUGAAGCCUUCUAGCUCCUAGUUCAUCUCUGCCCCCUUAACAGACAGUUCUCUUAGCAAUGAGGGUGAUCCAUUUAACUUUUAAGCCUGAUUAUAUCACUCUUAUAUCACUAUUUUACUUACAAAACAAAAACAAACGAACAAAAACAAACAAACAAAAAAAACCAACCCUGAUGAUUUCCCAGGCUAUUACUCUGACCUACAAGAGUCUUAUGUGAUCUAGUCCUUUCUCUCUACACAUAGUCCUUUCUCCCAAAUAUUAACACUGCUUGCUCCCUGCUUAAAUAUCUCAUCCUUGACUACAACAUAUAAAAUAGAAAUAACCCUUUCCUAUUUUUCUUCCUCUGCUUUUCUUCAUAGCAUUCACUACCUGACCAAAAAAUGUAUUUAUUGAUUAUUUUAUUGUCUUUCUCGCUCUCUCUCCCAAGAAUGUGAGCUCACUGAAAGCAAGGAUUUCUGGAUGUUUGGUUCACAGCUUUUUUUUUUUUUUUUUUUUUUUUUUUUUUUUUUUGCUUUUUAGGACCACACCUGCAGCCCAUUGAAGUUCCCAGGCUAGGGGUUGAAUUGGAGCUACAGCUACCAGCCCACACCACAGGCACAACCACGAGGGAUCUAAGCCAUGUCUGCAACUACACCACAGCUCACAACAAUGCUGGAUCCUUAACCCACUGAGCAUGGACAGGCAUCGAACCCACAUCCUCUUGGAUCCUAGUCGGGAUUGUUAACCACUAAGCCACGAAGGGAACUCCCCAGGUAAUAUUUUUUUAGAAUAAAUUCCUUGCUCUUUGGAAAAUAUAAAUGAUCAGUUUCAAAAUAUCUUCUAUCUUAAAACAAAAACUAAAAUUAAAAAUAUAGAGGGCCCAAUACAAAUUAUUCCACACCCAUCACAAGUUACCACUAUAGUAAACAAGACAUCAAGGGUUUCAUUGUGUGAUACUGUGAUAUACACUAUUCAAACUUAAAAGACAAGACUGCUUCUGUCACAGCUGUCUCCCAAAUUUUUGAGGAACACUGAAAAAUAGAAACAGAGAAAACAGAAAGGCAGGGAAUUUUAAUAAACUGUUUUCAUAUAACUAAAAAUAGUUAUCCUAAAAUAUCUUUGCUACUCUAUAAGUACUAACUUGAGAAGAUUACCUUUUUAGUCUCACAUUUCUAAUCAAUUUAUUACUCUUUCCUAGAAUUAAUGAAGCAUUUUAAUUAUUAAUCUAAAAACUUCCAUCCAAACUGUUAACCUGAAAGGAAAUACUACCAAGAAAACCCCAAGAGAUAUGUGAGGAAAGAGAAAACAAUGAAUGUUUUUUACAUUAAAAGGAUACUAUCAUCAUCUAAAUAAACAUCUAUCUGGUUCUCACUGGGCACCUGAAUUAAUGAUGCCAUGCAUAAAAGAUAAAAUUUAACUAGCAACAUCUUCUUAAUAAAAACCAAAGCAGACUAAUGCAGAAGGGGGAAAAAAAAUGCUAAAUUACAAUGAACUGAUACGCUCAAUUUUUUUAAAAAACCAAGAUGUUCCAAUUCAUUUGUUUCUUAAAAUUUUUCACCCUAUAACAACAAAUAGAAAUAAUCUCUGGAGUUCCUGUCGUGGUGCAGCGGAAAUGAAUCAGAUUAGGAACCAUGAGGUUGCGUGUUCAACCCCUGGCCUUGCUCACUGGGUUAAGGAUCCAGCGUUGCCAUGAGCUGUGGUGUAGGCCGGCAGCUACAGCUCUGAUUAGACCCCUAGUCUGCAAACCUCCAUAGGCCGUAGGUGCAGCUCUAAAAAGACAAAAGAUAAAAAAAAAAAAAAAAAAAAAAAAAAAAAAAAA
rnacentral:lncRNA from 1 species